CAGUAAAGAAGAGAAGAAUAUUUUAUGUGUAAAGUCUGCAAAUUGCAUACUUUGGUGUGUAAUUAUCACAAAUAGUCGGUAUGGAAGGCACAGAUUAUGAGCAAAAGUUAGCCAAAGUGGUGUUGCUGCCGUCUGUGCUGGGAGACGAUGACGCAGGCAUGGAAUGUGAGAAGCUGCAGCUGGAGGAGAAUUCAAGUUCAACUGAAGGUGCUGAGUCUGAACCAAAAGAUGAUUCCCCUGUUAGCAAAGAGGAGGCUAACAAUGAGCAGGGGAAGCCUGGAUCUCCUGAGAGUAUGUCUUCAGACGAAGACUAUAACACAGACCUGGAGCUUGAAGAUGAAGAGGAUUCAUUUGAUCCAACAGGGCAAAGAAGCUAUAAGGAGGCGUGUCAAAUUCAACAAGUGGUGCCUUCCUCAUAUGUCCUGCAGAAUAUGCAAAACAUGGAGC
rnacentral:lncRNA from 1 species